UGGGGAAUAUUGCACAAUGGGCGCAAGCCUGAUGCAGCCAUGCCGCGUGUGUGAAGAAGGCCUUCGGGUUGUAAAGCACUUUCAGCGAGGAGGAAGGGUUCAGUGUUAAUAGCACUGUUCAUUGACGUUACUCGCAGAAGAAGCACCGGCUAACUCCGUGCCAGCAGCCGCGGUAAUACGGAGGGUGCAAGCGUUAAUCGGAAUUACUGGGCGUAAAGCGCACGCAGGCGGUUUGUUAAGUCAGAUGUGAAAUCCCCGCGCUUAACGUGGGAACUGCAUUUGAAACUGGCAAGCUAGAGUCUUGU
rnacentral:rRNA from 1 species